rnacentral:lncRNA from 1 species
GAAAAGUUCAGUUUUAUCCUCUAUGUAAAUAUCUAAUUUUCCCAACAUCCUCUUUUGAAGAGAUUGUGUUUUUCUCAUUGUGUACUGUUGGGUCAAAAAUCAAUUGGCCAUAAGCAUAUGGGUUCAUUUUUGAGCUCUCUCGUCUGUUCCAUUGGUCAAUGUGUUUAUUUGCAUGAAGUAUCCUUCUUAAUCGCUUUACCUGCAGUCAGCAUAUGUCCUUGAAGAUGAGGUGUGUCAGAGAAAAAAAUGAGAGACAGACAAGAUCUCACAAGUAUCCUCCGAGUGGGUAUAAAAUGUCCGCUAGGGGGCGAUUCUUCUUGGACACUCUAUUGGCAAGACUUGUAUUUUUUCUCUAGAAAUGAGCUGGCCAGGCAUGCUACUUCUACAUGGAAGAGGUCAAUGUUUGCCUUACUCCAUUUUGAGGUCAUCACAGUACAUGACUCAGAAUCAUUAGACAAUGUUUAUUGA